UGGCAAACCUGGUGUCCAUUUGCGUG
rnacentral:piRNA from 1 species